AGUCGAACGAUGAAGCUUCUAGCUUGCUAGAAGUGGAUUAGUGGCGCACGGGUGAGUAAGGUAUAGUUAAUCUGCCCUACACAAGAGGACAACAGUUGGAAACGACUGCUAAUACUCUAUACUCCUGCUUAACACAAGUUGAGUAGGGAAAGUUUUUCGGUGUAGGAUGAGACUAUAUAGUAUCAGCUAGUUGGUAAGGUAAUGGCUUACCAAGGCUAUGACGCUUAACUGGUCUGAGAGGAUGAUCAGUCACACUGGAACUGAGACACGGUCCAGACUCCUACGGGAGGCAGCAGUAGGGAAUAUUGCGCAAUGGGGGAAACCCUGACGCAGCAACGCCGCGUGGAGGAUGACACUUUUCGGAGCGUAAACUCCUUUUCUUAGGGAAGAAUUCUGACGGUACCUAAGGAAUAAGCACCGGCUAACUCCGUGCCAGCAGCCGCGGUAAUACGGAGGGUGCAAGCGUUACUCGGAAUCACUGGGCGUAAAGGGCGCGUAGGCGGAUUAUCAAGUCUCUUGUGAAAUCUAAUGGCUUAACCAUUAAACUGCUUGGGAAACUGAUAGUCUAGAGUGAGGGAGAGGCAGAUGGAAUUGGUGGUGUAGGGGUAAAAUCCGUAGAUAUCACCAAGAAUACCCAUUGCGAAGGCGAUCUGCUGGAACUCAACUGACGCUAAGGCGCGAAAGCGUGGGGAGCAAACAGGAUUAGAUACCCUGGUAGUCCACGCCCUAAACGAUGUACACUAGUUGUUGGGGUGCUAGUCAUCUCAGUAAUGCAGCUAACGCAUUAAGUGUACCGCCUGGGGAGUACGGUCGCAAGAUUAAAACUCAAAGGAAUAGACGGGGACCCGCACAAGCGGUGGAGCAUGUGGUUUAAUUCGAAGAUACGCGAAGAACCUUACCUGGGCUUGAUAUCCUAAGAACCUUUUAGAGAUAAGAGGGUGCUAGCUUGCUAGAACUUAGAGACAGGUGCUGCACGGCUGUCGUCAGCUCGUGUCGUGAGAUGUUGGGUUAAGUCCCGCAACGAGCGCAACCCACGUAUUUAGUUGCUAACGGUUCGGCCGAGCACUCUAAAUAGACUGCCUUCGUAAGGAGGAGGAAGGUGUGGACGACGUCAAGUCAUCAUGGCCCUUAUGCCCAGGGCGACACACGUGCUACAAUGGCAUAUACAAUGAGACGCAAUACCGCGAGGUGGAGCAAAUCUAUAAAAUAUGUCCCAGUUCGGAUUGUUCUCUGCAACUCGAGAGCAUGAAGCCGGAAUCGCUAGUAAUCGUAGAUCAGCCAUGCUACGGUGAAUACGUUCCCGGGUCUUGUACUCACCGCCCGUCACACCAUGGGAGUUGAUUUCACUCGAAGCCGGAAUACUAAACUA
rnacentral:rRNA from 1 species